GACGUAGGGCGCGAGCGUUGUCCGGAUUUAUUGGGCGUAAAGAGCUCGUAGGCGGCUUGUCGCGUCGACUGUGAAAACCCAUGGCUCAACCAUGUGGUCUGCAGUCGAUACGGGCAGGCUAGAAUUCGGUAGGGGAGACUGGAAUUCCUGGUGUAGCGGUGAAAUGCGCAGAUAUCAGGAGGAACACCGGUGGCGAAGGCAGCUCGCUGGGACGGUACUGACGCUGAGGCGCGAAAGCGUGGGGAGCAAACAGG
rnacentral:rRNA from 1 species